rnacentral:hammerhead_ribozyme from 1 species
AUUCGGCUGACGAGUCCCAAAUAGGGCGAAACACGCGUUUUGAAU